GGCUCAAUGGUCUAGUGGUAGGAUACUCGCUUCGGGCUAACUUCGGUCCAUCUCAUCCAAUGAGAUCUCGAGAAUGUGAGUGGUCCCGGGUUCAAAUCCCGGUUGAGCCC